UACAGGGGGGGCAAGCGUUGUUCGGAAUUACUGGGCGUAAAGGGCUCGUAGGCGGCCAACUAAGUCAGACGUGAAAUCCCUCGGCUUAACCGGGGAACUGCAUCUGAUACUGGAUGGCUUGAGAUUGGGAGAGGGAUGCGGAAUUCCAGGUGUAGCGGUGAAAUGCGUAGAUAUCUGGAGGAACACCGAUGGCGAAGGCAGGUCUCUGGGCCGAUACUGACGCUGAGGAGCGAAAGCGUGGGGGGCGAACAGG
rnacentral:rRNA from 1 species